AGUAACGCCCAACCAAAACGCACCUAACAGUCUUUUAUAGUAGAAACAUCUAAGCUGCAAGUGCAAGGAUGAAACUUGAUCCCAAGUGUGUUUGGAACAGAAAAAUUGUUUUCUUGGGGGGCAUGAGGGACACAUAACUAAAAGGCAAGACAACAACACUCAUUUCCUUCGUGAAGAGAUUUACUAGAGGUUUCUCAGCCGUUUCCUCAACAGUGCCCUCACAUUAAGAAAUCUCACAAUACUCUGGCCACCGGCGCCCAUUCCGGCGCGUCCAGCUGAGCGUCUGCCUGACUCUGUCUGGGUUGAACACCGGGCAGGCCUCGGCCACAAGUGGGGAGUGAGAGAUGUUGGAGGGGGGAUGUCUCCUCAACUUGAAAACCUGUUGUUGGUGGAGAGGGAGCAGGGAGAAGGGAGGAGUACUUCCUCCCACCAGGACAGGUGGUCUGCGGUGGCACGUUCCUUCUCCCAAUUCCUAAGUUGGCACUUGGGGUACCCGGGCUCCUAAGAAAGCUGCCAAAAUGGAUUCGAUUUAGAAACCGCGCAAAGACAACAUUCCUGAGAUGAGGAUUCAGAGUUUCCUCCUAGAUACACAGUGUGGCCCCAGUCCUCUCACAUCCCCCAGGCUGCCUCCCCCUUCCUCCUAUCCUCACCUUUCCUAUCCUCACCUUCCCCGCAAGGAAUGCGGGGACCUUUUGGAUAGCUGCCCUGAACGUUGGGCGGGAUGAGCGACCAAGAUUAAAACCUCAAGGCGGGCGAUUCGACGUCAGAAUAGUUUUCACGUGUCAGUGUUUCAAUGCAGCCACCUUUAGGCGUCUAGAGAAAAGGGUAGGCGUGCGUGAGCGAGAGUCGCCGUGGUCGUAAAUAGCGACUUAAGUGGCGGGACAGAGUCUGUCUCUGUUGCCCAGGCUGGAGCACAGUGGUAUGAUAUCAGCUCACUGCAACCUCCUCCUCCUGAGCUCAUGCAGUCCUCCUACAUCAGCCUCCUGAAUAGCUGGGACUACAGGCUGGUGUCAAACCCCUGAGCUCAAGUGAUCCGCCUGCCUUAGCUCCCAAAGUGCUGGGAUUACAGGCAAGAGCCACUGUGCCAACAUGGAUCAGAGUUAUUAAUACUUUAAAGUUUGGAGGAGGAGCCCCAAGGAGCUAGCAUUCACCUUUGAAGAGGGAGUACUACUCAGCGAGUGCUAGUAACUCCAGGUUUUCCCUGAAGUCUGUGACAAACCUCGGUAUAUGCAAUAUGAAAAUCCCAAAACAUCUUACUGAUGUUUACUUCAAGAAUAAGAAGCUGAGGAAGCCCAGACACCAGGAAGGUGAGAUCUUUGAUACAGAAAAAGAGAAAUAUGAGAUUACAGAGCAGGGCAAGAUUGAACAGAAAGCUGUGGACUCACAAAUUUUACCAAAAAGCAAAGUUCCAGGGUUACUUGUGAUCUGUGUUUGCCCUGAUGAAUGGAAUUUAUCCUCACAAAUUUGUGUUCUAAAUGUAUUAAGAGAAAGCUAAUUAAAUAGCUGACAAUGACAACAACAACAAGACAACAACAAGAACAUUAAAAAAGAUUCUUUUUUGGAAUUAUUGACUUUGGCUGAGAAUGUGCACAUUAGAAGAUGUCUUUGUUGCUUACUUGAAAAUAAUAUAGUAAAUGAUAGAUACUUUAAAUUAUUUAGCUAUUAAAAUAAUGAUAUUUUAAAGUACUACUCAAAUUAAUGGAAGAGAAAAUGAAAUAUGGGGAAAUUACAAGUCAAAUCUCUACCUGGAGUGAGAAUAUAUUUCAGAAAUUUAAGAUGAUCAGAUUCUUUAUUUUGCUUAAAAUUUUCUUCUUUAUUCCCAAACUUUUUCUUCUUUCCUUCCUCCCUUUGUGCUUUCCUCCUUCCAUCUCUCUCACUUCUUUUCCUUCUGCUUUCUUUCCUCCCUUUCUCCCUCCUCCCUUACUCAUUUCCUUCCUUCUUUGUUUUUGAGUCUUUUCCUCUUCUCAGAUCUCAUGCCCAAGGAUUACCUUGUAAGGGAUCCCUUCUUCCACCUUUGCUUGAAAUUUAUCGUCAUCACUAAGUUCACCUGCCUCCAUGACUUCAGCUAAAUCCAAGACAAUGACAAGCACAUUCAUAUCUCUAGGCAUCACCGUUCCUUAAAGUACUGGGUUUCUAGGAUUACCUCAAACUCAACAUACUCCAAUGUGAACUUACUAAUUGCCUUAACCAAUUUUCCCCUUUCUCCCAUUUCCACUUUGGUUAUGCUUGACCAAGGGAUUCUCACCAUGUCUCCAGUUACUCAGGCUAGAAAUUCUGUCAACCUACACUCUGAUCUUCACCUCACCCUCCACCUCGUGUUCCCAGGGUUACCAAACCCUGUUAGUACUACCACUGAAUAUCUUUUUAUUUUCUUUCUUUAUAUGCAGACCUGUCACCAUGAUUAAAACCCUCAGCCUGUCUUGCCUGUGCUUUUGAAACAAAAUAUUAACAGGUUUUCUAGCUUUCAGUUUCCUUGGUCUCCAAUCCAUUCUUUAUGCUGACUCCAGAGUAACAUUUCUGUAACCACGAUAUGAUUGUGUUAUUUUUCUGCCUCAAAACCUUUGGUGGUCACACACUAUCAAGCUCAGACUCUGUUGCAGGAUAUAUAAAGUCUUUCACAACUUACAUUUCCGUCCUCAUGUGUUAGCAGUAUGGGCAGUGCUAGGUAGUGGUUAGAACUUAUGCACUAGAGCCUGGCUAUCUGGGUUUGUGUGUUAGUUUUGUUCAAGCGAGAUCUUGAACAUGUUAUUUAGCUUAUCUAAACCUUAGUUUUCUUAUCUGUAAAAUUUGGUUUGGACAUUUUGAAGAUUAAGUAAGCCAAUGCAUGUAAAGGGCUUUGAAGAGUAAAUGUUAGAUGAUUUUAAAUAAAUUAAAAACUCUUUCUAUGUGCAUAUGGACUUUCACACUAUUCUCCAAACAAGCCACAUAUUGUCUCACCUCUGGAAAUUUGCACAUAGAUAUCAGCUCAAACAUCCUUUCUCUGGUGAAAUUUCUCCAAGAUAGGCUAAGUAUGCAACUCCCUUCUUGUUCCAGUAGGGCCUUGCACAAGCUUUAGUACAACCUCUGUUGAAUUAUAUUGAAGUUGUUCAUGUAGUUAUGUCUUCAAAUAGAUUGUCAAAGUGGAUGGUCUUAUUCAUUUUUAAAUUUCUUUCUGUGCCUAUCAUAUAA